rnacentral:sRNA from 1 species
UGCCCAACCCGUGGAAAAGGCAUUUCACCUAGAACACUAGACAGGUCAUACUUUAGCUCCUUCCAUUUUGGGUACCUUUCAUUGAUAUCAAGCAGCCAGACAUCAUUAAGCACAUCAAAUUCUGAUCCUCUACCACCAAAAAGAACCAUGCGACUCCCACCAAUCCAAGUUAAAGUGUGGCCAGAACGAGAUAAAGGCAAAGGCUCAGUAUCCUCUAUUUGGUGCCAAAUGCCAGAUCGGAGGCCAUUAGAGAGAUCAAGAAGCCAUGUAUCCCCAAGCCGGCUUCCAGACUGCCCUAUGCCACCAUGAAUUACAAUAAACUUAUCAUCCACACAGCAGGCUGCAUGAGCUCCACGAGGAUAUGGUGCAUGUGGGCCUACCUCCAGCAGUCUCCAUGAGAUCUUCAUCCUGCGAGACUCUUCACAAAUGAUUUGACCUAUCCAUGUGUCAUUCAAACGCUGCCCCUGAUCAUUGAUUCCACCAAAAAGGACUAAUGCAUCUCCAACUAUAGAGCAUGAAUGACCGAAACGACCACUUGGAGUGCCAGAGUCUAAUUGCUGCCAGCUAAACACAGCAGAUGAUCUAUUCCCAGCUCCAUUUCCAACAUAUGCCACCCAAUUAAAAAAAAAGGGUUUAAUUACCUCCCUCGCAGCCGCCGCCGAAGAGGACGAGCCAGCCGGCGACGAGGUUGAGCGAGUGCGACGCCCGCGGCCGCGGCGAGGCGCCCUUGACGGGGACCCGGCGCGCGGACAGCGCGCCGAGCAGGGCGACCUCGGCGUAGAUCCUCCGCCACGGCACGCCGCCGCCGCCGCGGCGGCGGCGCUCGGCGAGCGCGGCGGUGGCCCGUGCCCCCCAGUCGCGGCGGCAGAGCGCCUCCCAGAGCGCGUCGGACGAGGCCCACGCGUGGAACGCGCGGCAGGCGGCGGCGAACGAGAGCACGGACUCCGCGGGGAGCAGGUGCAGGAUGGAGAGCACCUGGUCGCACCCCAGCCGCGCCACGGCCGCCUCCUCCUCCAUCACU